ACUCAAAUGAAUAGACGGGGGCCCGCACAAGCAGCGGAGCGUGUGGUUUAAUUCGACGCAACGCGAAGAACCUUACCAGGGCUUGACAUGCCAUGUUCAGUCCCGGAAACGGGAUGCCCUUCGGGGGAAUGGCACAGGUGCUGCACGGCUGUCGUCAGCUCGUGCCGUGAGGUGUUGGGUUAAGUCCCGCAACGAGCGCAACCCCUUUUGCCAGUUGCAUGAUCUGGCGAGACUGCCGGUGGCAAGCCGGAGGAAGGCGGGGAUGACGUCAAGUCAGCGUGGCCCUUACGUCCUGGGCGACACACACGCUACAAUGGCCGGUACAGCGCGCAGCAACCGUGCGAGCGGAAGCGAAUCGCUCAAAGCCGGCCCCAGUUCAGAUUGCAGGCUGAAACUCGCCUGCAUGAAGGCGGAGUUGCUAGUAACCGCGGGUCAGCACACCGCGGUGAAUACGUUCCCGGGCCUUGUACACACCGCCCGU
rnacentral:rRNA from 1 species